CUGGUACUAGAGUGGCGAACGGGUGAGUAACACGUGGGUGAUCUGCCUUGCACUCUGGGAUAAGCUUGGGAAACUGGGUCUAAUACCGGAUAGGAACCGUCUUUAGUGUGGUGGUUGGAAAGUUUUUUCGGUGCAAGAUGAGCUCGCGGCCUAUCAGCUUGUUGGUGGGGUAAUGGCCUACCAAGGCGUCGACGGGUAGCCGGCCUGAGAGGGUGUACGGCCACAUUGGGACUGAGAUACGGCCCAG
rnacentral:rRNA from 1 species